rnacentral:rRNA from 1 species
AUGAUGGCGAAAAAGUCCUGCUUCAGCCUCGUCACCGUACACCUUACCGGAGCUGCUCCAACGACGGAACAGUUCAUUACAGCAGAGCAGUGCCCUCGAUGCCGUUUCCAGAGGCCUCGGAUCUUCUUCCCCGCCUCCGAUAGUCACACCAGCAUCAUCACCAUCCUCCACGUCCAACCCAAUGAUGCUGAGGUCCACAAGGCUAUGCCAAAGAGGUUGUACACUCGUCGCAUCACUUUGUUACUCUGCAUUCAUGUCGAUCCCUCAGGGAUCCUUUGCUAUGGAACUACUAUUCAUGCAAAUCUGUUAGAAGGAGUGGAGCAAAGCAAAACUGGAGGAUUUUUUCCUUUGGUGUCUCUUUCAAAGAAAAAACGUAGGAAUUUUAUUCACUUGGACGUCCUUUUCAAAUUAAUAUGCAUGAAGAACAGAACUAAUUGCAUUACUGGCAUAGUAACAUUCUUAUAUUUUUUUCAUUUUCACGUGGUUUGA